GUGCAAGAGCAGAUACUUAAGUCGAAGAGCAUCUUUCUAUCUUCUCUUCCAAUCUAUUGAUCUGCCCUUCCAAUACUAUCAGAUCAAUAGAUUGGAAGAGCAGAUCGAAAAAUGCUCUCACCUUAAGGAGAGACAGCGACUC
rnacentral:pre_miRNA from 19 species